rnacentral:rRNA from 1 species
GCUAGGACGAACGCUGGCGGCGUGCCUAACACAUGCAAGUCGAGCGAGGAGAUCCUUCGGGAUGAUCCUAGCGGCGGACGGGUGAGUAACACGUGGGCAACCUGCCUCAUAGAGAGGAAUAGCCUUCCGAAAGGGAGAUUAAUACCUCAUAACAUUGCAGUUUCGCAUGGAACAGCAAUUAAAGGAGCAAUCCACUAUGAGAUGGGCCCGCGGCGCAUUAGCUAGUUGGUGAGGUAACGGCUCACCAAGGCGACGAUGCGUAGCCGACCUGAGAGGGUGAUCGGCCACAUUGGGACUGAGACACGGCCCAGACUCCUACGGGAGGCAGCAGUGGGGAAUAUUGCACAAUGGGGGAAACCCUGAUGCAGCCAACGCCGCGUGAGUGAUGACGGCCUUCGGGUUGUAAAGCUCUGUCUUCAGGGACGAUAAUGACGGUACCUGAGGAGGAAGCCACGGCUAACUACGUGCCAGCAGCAGC